rnacentral:lncRNA from 1 species
GUCUGACGUAACUGCUACGCUUACCCAGACGGCCUCUCUCUUGGUCUUCGGCGGGUACGUGUCUUCCGGCCAGCUCUCUUCCGCUUCUGCUGUCUUGAUGACGCACAGUGCUGGCGCAAGUCGUCUUGCGCCAGGCGACUGGGUCUGAGGAGGCAGGAGUUAUUCAUUCCCUUAAGCUUUCAGGCCGGGGGGAGAAUCUUUCAGGUGGUAGCUGCAAGAACUCUUAGUAUGUUGACCUCACCUCUGCCUUCCACAUACCACUACCAGUGAGGAAUUAGGAAUGCAUGAGAAGAGUGUCCAAGAAGAGUGUCCUCAUUCAUGCAAGGCUUAAGAGAGAAUGCAGGUCAACAUCACCAUGUCAAUCAGAGGUGCAGAUGCUGAGAGCACUUUCUAGUCAAGUCCUGCAUGUUCAUUUCUGUCUCAAGUCAGCUUCUCUGAGAAUCCAAUUUAUAAAAAUAUAUUUGUGAAUGUAUAAGUAAAGUGACUUGGAUUUUGUCUACGUACAAGGACUUCUAUGCCUGCAUAAAACAGUUUGGAACCAGCAGCAGCAGCAGCUCCCCAGACCUACUGAAUCAGAAUCUACAUUUUGAUAAGAGCCCA